AACAUAAUAAAUACAAACCUCUAAUAAAUCUCAAAAUAUCUCCAAUAAAAUUUAAUACCAAAUGCCACACACUCCGAUUUAAAUAGAAGGAACUCCACGUUUACAUAGUCUCUACUAAUAAGAAAUAAAUGCCAAAAUAGGCACCAAAACAUCCAAUUGCAAAAUCUUAGGAAAAUCAAGUCUACUAAUAAUCUCAAGAGCUAAUCUACUCAUUUGAAUCAAAGGUAGCUCUCAUCAUGCAUAUCCUGAUCACCCCUGAUUACCUGCCGGAAAAAGAACACAGCGUAAGGCAAUUGCCCAGUACGGAUAUGAAAAUGAAUAAAUAUAUCACAAUAAGUAAUGAAUCUAAAAGAGUUGAAUGAAUGAACACAUGUGAAUUACAAACGAAUUACGAAUAGAUCAAAAUUUGAGAGUCCAUUUACAAAUGACUAACACUGUCAAUCAAUAAUUAUAGCCAAAAGAAUCCCAAACAAAUAAGGCUGAAUCAAAUGGUUGUAAGAUAACAAUUUCAUACUGAGCUCAAAUACAAAUAGCCAAAGGCUAACAAAAUACAUCGGUACCAUGAUGUAUACAAAUCAAAUCGGAUAGUACGCACGACACAUACGUCACUAAUCCGCCAAACAAAUCGAAUCAAAUCAAAUACUGGGUCGACCCAUAAGUAUCCUGAACAAAUAUAUCAAAUGGCCAAAGCUCAUACUCCGAGCAUACAAAAUAAUACGUCGUGGACUGAUCACACUGCCACAGAAGGUGUCAUGCCCUUGUGUCAAGAGGACAUGCCUGUGGUACCCCCACAGGUGGUUAGCUCAAAUAUACCUUAAUGAUCAAACUACAAAAUGUAAGCCAAAAGGGUUCAAAUCACAAUGCUUACAUGGCCAUAUUCAAAUGAAAUCGAAUUAUCAAAUACAAACAUACCCAAUUGUUACAAGAUAUCAAUGAUCAAAAUAACUCGAGUGUGAACGAAAAUAUACGAACAAUGGUACAAACAAAUAAACUCUCCAAAACAUAUUGACACGAUUAACUAGUUCAAAGAGUACAAAUACGAAUUCAAAUAUCAACGCCAAAACGAAACUAUCUCAAUAAUUUUGACAAGGAAUAAUCCCGAGAGGCAAUACCAAAUUUCUAAACGAGUACAAAACGAACGAAUUAAAUUUAAAGGAAUAUUACUGAAAAAGUACGGAAUCCGUACCUUAAUAUAGUACCAAAUAAUUCGCCGAAUCCAACUAUCACCCGCUAAACUCCCCCAAUCCAAUCUAAUUAUCAAAAUAAAAUAUAAAGCAUAUAAUUAAAUUACGAACUCAUACAAAUUAUAUUUUCACAAAUUUAAUAAUUUUAAUAUACUAUAUUCAGUUUGUACUAAAAGAUAUAUUUUAAUUAUAAUAACAAUAUUAUAAUAUUAUUUACUAUUAUCCCCUUUUUAAAUUUUUGCAUAUCUUAUUUAUAUAUAUAUAUAUACACAUAUAUAUAUAUAUCAAAUCUGCAGUAUAUAUAUAAAAAAAACUAAUUUGUAGGAUUAUAUAUAUAUAUAUAUAUAUAUAUAUAUAUAUUAUAUCUAUGCCUGUGAAUCUAUAUAUAUAUAAUUCCUGCGGCUUACUUUUAUAUAUAUAUAUAUAUAUAUAUAUAUAUAUAUAUAUAUAUAUAUAUAUAUANNNNNNNNNNNNNNNNNNNNNNNNNNNNNNNNNNNNNNNNNNNNNNNNNNNNNNNNNNNNNNNNNNNNNNNNNNNNNNNNNNNNNNNNNNNNNNNNNNNNGAUUCGCAGAGAUAUAAUAAAGCAGUUAGGUUUAGGUUUAUUUAUUAAUUAAUAUAUUUUAUUAAUACUUUUAAUUUUAUUAGGAUUUAAAAUGACACAAAUAUAAAUUAGACCCAAUUAAUGUAAUAUUACUUAUUAUGGUCCAAAUAAAUUAAAUAGAAUCUAACCCAAACAUAAGGAAAGCCCAAUUAAAUAUUUUAAAGCUUACUUAAUUAUUUUAUUAUUAUUUUAUUGGGUAUUACAUCACCUUCCCCUUAAAAAGGAUUCCGUCCCCGGAAUCAAAAGAACAGAACGUACCUAAUUUUCAAAAAGAUGUGGAUAUUCCACUCGAAUAGACUCCUCUAUCUCCCAAGUAGCUUCCCGCUCCGAAUUGUUUUUCCACAGGACUUUAACAAAAGGAAUUGUCUUCCUCCUCAUAAUCCGUUUUUGACGAUCUAGAAUCGCCUCGGCUUCUUCCUCACAAGUAAGAUCUUCUUGAAUCUUAUGUAACGGGUAUUGCACAACAUGAAGCGGAUGAUAGUUAUAUUUCUUUAACACCGAAACAUGAAAUAUAUUAUGUACAUGAGAUAACUAUGGAGGCAAAGCCACCCGAUAUGCCACUUCUCCAACUCUCUCAAGGACUUCAAAAGGGCCAACGAAACGCAGACUAAGCUUCCCUUUCAAACCAAACCUUUCAACACCUUUCCAUGGAGAAACUUUCAAAAACACGUGUUCACCAGGCGUGAAUUCAAGAGCCCUCCUAUGAAUAUCAGCAUAACUCUUUUGCCGCGAUCUAGCUUCUUUCAAUUUUUUUUAGCCACUGCUACCUUUUCCGUAGUAAUCCUAAUCAAAUCGGGUCCUUCUAUUACCCUUUCUCCAACCUCAUCCCAACAAGUCGGAGCUCGACACUUCUUACCAUACAAAGCUUCAAAAGGAGCCAUACCAAUACUAGCUUGCCAACUGUUAUUAUAUGCGAACUCCACCAAAGUCAAAUAAUCAUCCCAGUUUCCUGUCCACUCUAAAGCACAAGAUCGCAACAUGUCUUCUAAUGUCUGAAUAGUUCUCUCUGAUUGUCCAUCUGUCUGCGGGUGAAAAGUUGUACUAUAGUUGAGUCGCGUUCCCCAAGCUCGUUGAAAUCCUUUCCAAAAUCGAGAAGUAAACCGCGGAUCCUGAUCCAAAACAAUAGAAACUGGUGUCCCAUGAAGCCUAACAAUCUCACGUUGAAAAAUAUCUGCUAUCUUAUUCACCGAAAAAUUCUCACGAAUAGCCAGAAAAUGCGUCGAUUUGGUCAAACGAUCCACUACCACCCAAAUAGCAGAAUUUUUUUUAAGAGUCCUCGGUAAUCCAAUCACAAAGUCCAUCGAAAUGUCAUCCCAUUUCCACACGAGAAUCUCUAACUGUUGCAACAAACCACCAGGCCGCUGAUGCUCUAUUUUCACCUGCUGACAAGUAAGACAUUUACUCACAAAUUCAGCUACAUCCCUUUUCAUUCCACUCCACCAAAAAUUCUCCUUCAGAUCCUUAUACAUCUCUGUAGACCCCGGAUGAAUAGAAAAUGGCAAACUAUGAGCUUCAGUCAACACUGCCUCACGAAUCAUUGGAUCCACUGGAACACAUAACCAUUUACCAAACCAUAUCACACCUUGCUCAUCAAUACGAAACUCUGGCUGCCUACCCUCAUCCAUAUUCUGUGCUACAGCCCACAACUCGCCAUCCUCCUUUUGGGCUUCCUUGAUACGCAAAAUAAGAGAAGGUUCCACCCUUAUACCUGUUACCAACCCAUCAGAGCCUCUAGUAUAUAGCUCCAAACCCAUACGCUCCAUAUCCGAGAUAAGUUGAGGUUGUGUAACCAAGGCAGCUACACUCCCUGAACUCUUUCGGCUAAGAGCAUCUGCAACCACAUUAGCCUUACCGGGGUGACACUGAAUCCUAGCAUCAUAGUCCUUGAGAAGCUCCAACCAACGCCUCUGCCUCAUGUUAAGCUCCUUCUGAGUAAAAAUAUAUUUAAGGCUCUUGUAGUCGGUGAAAAUGUCACAAGUCUCUCCAUAUAGAUAGUGCCUCCAAAUAUUUAGGGCAAAAAUAAUUGCUGCUAACUCCAAGUCGUUGGUAGGGUAAUUUACCUCAUAAGGUUUAAGUUGUUUGGAAGCAUAAGCAAUUACCUUACCAUGUUGCAUCAAAACACACCCUAAUCCCUUCUUGGAAGCAUCACUGUAAAUCUGAUAACCUCCUAUCCUCGACGGUAAUGUAAGCACCGGAGCCGACACAAGCCUCUUCUUAAGCUCCUCAAAACUAUUCUCACGUUCUUCAUUCCACAUAAACUUUCUGCCCUUCUUCAUCAACUGAGUUAAUAGCAAAGCUAACAAAGAGAAACCUUCCACAAAUCGCCUGUAGUACCCUGCCAAACCCAAGAAAAUCCUUACUUCAGUUACCGUGGUAGGUCUUGGCCAAUUAGUGAUAGCCUCAACCUUCGCAAGAUCCACCUUAAUACCUUCAGCAGACACGACAUGUCCCAAAAAUGCUACCUGUUUUAACCAAAACUGGCAUUUGGAGAACUUAGCAUAUAACUUAUUCUUUUGCAGAACUCCCAAAAUAGUACAAAGAUGCUCUUCAUGCACCUCCUUAGACUUGGAAUACACCAAAAUGUCAUCAAUGAAGACAAUGACAAAUUGGUCCAAAUACUCGCUAAAAACCCAAUUCAUCAUAUCCAUAAACACUGUCGGAGCAUUAGUUAGCCCAAAAGACAUCACUAAAAACUCAUAGUGCCCAUACCGAGUACGAAAAGCUAUUUUUGGAAUGUCCUCUUUCCUCACCCUUAACUGAUGGUACCCCGACCUCAAAUCUAUCUUUGAGAAGAACUUUGCCCCUUAGAGCUGAUCAAAAAGGUCAUCUAUCCGUGGAAAUGGAUAUCUGUUCCUGAUAGUGAUCCGAUUUAGCUCCCUAUAAUCUAUACACAAUCUCAUAGAUCCGUCCUUCUUCUUCACAAAUAAGACUGGAGCACCCCAUGGCGAUACACUCGGUCUAAUGAAUCCACUAUCUAACAACUCCUGUAAUUGUUCCUUCAACCCCUGUAACUCUAAUGGAGCCAUUCUAUAGGGUGCCUUAGAGAUAGGUUCCGCUCCAGGAAUGAGCUCAAUAAUAAACUCAACUUCCCUUGGCGGUGGCAAUCCUGGCAGAUCCUUAGGAAAUACCUCAGGAAAUUCUCGCACAAUUGGAUAGUCAUCAAGUUGGGGCUCAUCCCUCGAGGUAUCCUUCACAUAAGCCAAAUAACAAUCACGUCCCUUAGCAAUCAUUUUGCUCACCUUCAAAGCUGAGAUCAACUUUACAACACCAUUCGGCUUGGAACAUUGAAACUCGAAUUCUAGAGCUUCUAAGGUUCCAAAAAUAACCUUCCUCGCCUGACAAUCAAUAGUGGCUCGAUGCUUACUCAGCCAAUCCAUACCCAAGAUAAUAUCAAAAUCAUGCAUCACUAUCGGAAGUAAGUUAGUUGCGUACACUCUCCUCCCUAACUUCAAAGGACACUCGCGAAAGUGCUCAGAAAUAAUCACAGAAUUCCCCGUCGGGGUAGCAAUAGACAAAUGAGGAUUUAAUAUUUGAGAAGACACUCCAAGAUGACAAAUAAAUGAAAGUGCAACAAUAGAGUGUGUAGAUCCAGUGUCAAACAAAACCGAAUGCCUCACGAUUUCCUACAAGAAGAAUGCCUGAAAUAGUACCUGGUGCUUGGGCCGCCUGAUUAGCUGUUAAUGCAAAUACUCUCCCACCGGUGUUGCACUGACCACCAUUACCAGCAUUACCGCCUCCCACAUUACCACGCUGAACUGGGCAGUCCCUUGCUCUAUGUCCCAUUUGUCCACAUAAGAAACAAGCCCCUGUCUCUCUAUAACAUGCCCUACCAGCAUGAUACCCACCACAAGUAGUACAUGGACCAGGUGAAAGUGGCAAAAGGUUCGGAUUGCCCCCACCUGCCGGUCCUGGAUACCGCCCCUGAAUUUGACCCUGUUGGCGAUGCUGACCCUGAUUUUGAUUCUGUUGGAAACCCCUAUUCUGUUAAAAUCCCCUAUUUUGAUACUGCCCUCCAUCUUGCCAAUGACCAUGCUGCUGACCUCCACGACCACCCUGCUGCAUUGGGUAAGCAAAAUCCCUUCGAGGAUUAAAUCGCUGACCCGAUGGAGGCUCAUUCUAAUUAUUUUGCCUUCUAUUCUGAUUUCUGCCAAACUGCCCCAUUCCUUGCCCUUGCUGGUCAUCUCUAUCUCUCUUUCGACUCCCUUCUGAUUUGGAAGCUCGAAAGUCCUUGUGCUCUAUUUCCACACUCUUAGCUGCAUUGGCCACCUGUGAUACAUCUGUAAAUAUGGUGUGGAUGAUCGAUCUCCUAUACUCAUAUUUCAAAGCCCAUUUAAACUUUUCUGCCUGCUGUUCAGCUGUCCCAGCUAUUGAACCCGCAAAACCAGCCAAUCUUGUAAACCUCGCUAUGAAAUCAGUAAUAGUCUCAUCAUCCUUCUGCCGAAUGGACACAAAUUCCCUGAUGUAUGCAUCCCUAUCAGCGUUUGGGAAAUACUGCUGAUAGAAAAGGUCACAAAAACCGCUCCAUAUGAGUCCAUCCAUAAAUCCAUCUCCCUGUGUAGCCUUCAACGAUUUCCACCAUCGUUGAGCAUCAUCCUCUAACUUAUAUACUGCUAAUCUCACCUUCUGAUUUUUGGUACACCCAAUAACAUCAAAAAUCUUCUCCAAGUGGGCGAUCCAGUUCUCCGCAUCAAUUGGAGUUGGAGCAAAACGAAAAGAGUUAGGCUUCUGCUUAAUGAACCUCUCCAAUAACAUAUACAACGGCUGCACUUGCUGACCCACUUGAUCCUCGGGAGGAACAUUCUGCUCAUGCUGUGGUAUCUCUGCAUCAUUCCCUAUGCCAUUUGCAUGCUGAUUUCCUUGCAUCUGCGGAAUACCCUGCAUGGCCUGUGCCACGGCCUGCGUAACUGCAUCAUUCACCAUUGCUGCAACCAUAGCCGGGGUUAUUGUCGCAUUACCAUGAUUCCCAUCGUUUUCACCUUGGUUAACAGCCUCAACCUGGGGUUGCCUCUGACCCCUCCUACCGUUAUUACCCUACCUCCCAGCAAUUCUCGAAGACCUACGAGCCAUCUAUGAUACAAAAUCAAACAGACGAGAACAAACAGAUCAAAACAAAUAAUCAAAGCCAAAUUUAUGCAAAACGAAAAUCAAUCGCAAUACAACUCUAUAAUAAAAUCUUACAACUACCCAAUGGUCUACCCAUAACUCACAGGUCAAGCCUAAAAGGCAAUCUACAAGAUCAUAACCUAUGCUCUGAUACCAACUCUGUAACACCCCCUUUCCCAAAAGAAAAAAGGGAUGUCACGCACAAACAUAAUAAAUACAAACCUCUAAUAAAUCUCAAAAUAUCUCUAAUAAAAUUUAAUACCAAAUGCCACACACUCUGAUUUAAAUAGAAGGAACUCCAAGUUUAUAUAGUCUCUACUAAUAAGAAAUAAAUGCCAAAAUAGGCCCCAAAACAUCCAAUUACAAAAUCUUAGGAAAAUCAAGUCUACUAAUAAUCUCAAGAGCUAAUCUACUCAUUUGGAUCAAAGGUAGCUCUCAUCACACAUAUCCUGAUCACCCCUGAUUACCUGCCGGAAAAAGAACACAGCGUGAGCCAAUUGCCCAGUACAGAUAUGAAAAUAAAUAAAUAUAUCACAAUAAGUAAUGAAUCUAAACGAGUUGAAUGAAUGAACACAUGUAAAUUACAAACGAAUUACGAAUAGAUCAAAAUUUAAGAGUCCAUUUACAAAUGACUAACACUGUCAAUCGAAUAAUUAUAGCCAAAAGAAUCCCAAACAAAUAAGGCCGAAUCAAAUGGUUGUAAGAUAACAAUUUCAUACUGAGCUCAAAUACAAAUACAUCGGUACCAUGAUGUAUACAAAUCAAAUCGGAUAGUACGCACGACACAUACGUCAAUAAUCUGCCAAACAAAUCGAAUCAAAUCAAAUACUGGGUCGACCCAUACGUAUCCUGAACAAAUAUAUCAAAUGGCCAAAGCUCAUACUCCGAGCAUACAAAAGAAUACGCCGUGGACUGAUCACACCGCCAUGGAAGGUGUCAUGCCCUUGUGUCAAGAGGACAUGCCUGUGGUACCCCCACAGGUGGUUAGCUCAAAUAUACCCUAAUGAUCAAACUACAAAAUGUAAGCCAAAAGGGGUUCAAAUCACAAUGCUUACAUGGCCAUAUUCAAAUGAAAUCGAAUUAUCAAAUACAAACAUACCCAAUUGUUACAAGAUAUCAAUGAUCAAAACAACUCCGAAUGUGAACGAAAAUAUACGAACAAUAGUACAAACAAAUAGUCUCCAAAACAUAUUGACACGAUUAACUAGUUCAAAUAGUACAAAUACGAAUUUAAAUAUCAACGCCAAAACGAAACUAUCUCAAUAAUUUUGACAAGGAAUAAUCCCGAGAGGCAAUACCAAAUUUCUAAACGAGUACAAAACGAACGAAUUAAAUUUAAAGGAAUAUCGCUGAAAAAGUACGGAAUCCGUACCUUAAUGUAGUACCAAAUAAUUCGCCGAAUCCAACUAUCACCCGCUAAACUCCUCCAAUCCGAUCUAAUUAUCAAAAUAAAAUAUAAAGCAUAUAAUUAAAUUACGAACUCAUACAAAUUAUAUUUUCACAAAUUUAAUAAUUUUAAUAUACUAUAUUCAGUUUGUACUCAAAAGAUAUAUUUUAACUAUAAUAAUAAUAUUAUAAUAUUAUUUACUACUAUCCCCUUUUUAAAUUUUUGCAUAUCUUAUAUAUAU
rnacentral:lncRNA from 1 species